rnacentral:snoRNA from 1 species
CCAUCUGAUGAACCCAAUGAUUCGCUGUGUUCUUCCUGAGAUUUCUUUGAAGAAACAAACAUCACCUUGGAGAACUGAUAU